CCCGGUGCUGCCCCUUGUCCCGGUGCUGCCCCUUGUCCCGGUGCUGCCCCUUGUCCCGGUGCUGCCCCUUGUCCCGGUGCUGCCCCUUAUUCCGGUGAUGGUCCUUAUCCUGGUGCUGCCCCUUGUUUUUGUGCUGCCCCUUGUCCCGGUGCUACCCCUUGUCCCGGUGCUGCCCCUUGUUCCGGUGCUAGCUGAUUAUUUAGGGGAAGGUAAUGUUUGGGUGGUCAGUGGUAGGGGUAGACAGAAGAGGGGAGUGACUAUGGUGGUAUGGGGACAGCGUCCGGAACCGGAACCACCACCGUGGUCAACUGCCCACCCGGACCCUCCCCUGGACUUUGUGCUGGUGCGCCCGGCGUUCGCACCUUGGGGGGGGGGUACUGUAACAGUCCUGACCUAUUUAUGUUAGUUUUUAUGUGUUUUUGGUCAGGGCAUGUGUUUUGGGUGGGCAGUCUAUGUUAUCUGUUUCUAUGUUGGUUUCGGUUUGCCUGGUAUGGCUCUUGAUUAGAGGCAGGUGGUUUGCAUUUUCCUCUAAUCAAGAGUCAUAUUUAGGUAGGGCAUUCUCACUGUGUGUUUGUGGGUGAUUGUCUCCUGUGUCUGUGUUAUGUCUUACACCAUACGGGAUUGUUUCGGUUGUUCGUUUCGUUUCGGUUUAUGUAGUCUGUUCCUGUGUCAGCGUGCUUCGUGUAUAUGUAAGUUCGUUUGUUCAGGUCUGUCUACAUCGUUUUGUUAUUUUGUUAGUUAUAUCCAGUAUAGUUCGUUUUCGUCUUUGUCUAUUUUGUUUAUUUAAUAAAUCAUUAUGUGUUCAAACUUCGCUGCGCCUUGGUUCCCUCAAUACUCCUCCUUUUCCGAAAAUGGAGAGGAGGAGGAACGCCUUAACAGCCUUUAAAUUUCAAUCACGCUUUAACGAUGAACUUCCGCAAUGUGGAUUGAAUGGAGUCCUUAAUCAAAGUUCAAAUUCAGGUGUAUUUGUGAAUCGCAUAGAAAUGAAUGUAUGUAUUUCAAUAUUUGAAUAUGACAUGUUCAUUUUUCCCUCUUCUCUCCCUCUAUAUCUUCCUCUAUCCCUGUCAGAUUGUUCAAUUUCUUCCCUUCCUCAACAGGCACGGCACAAUGACUUUCCAUCUCUGCAACAGGCGGAAGCUCCCUGCGCUCACCACUAGUGCUGCACAGCGGUAAAGAAGGGCUGGCGGGAUUGAUUGAUCAAUGGAUGGAUGAUUCCUUUUGAUAAUUCAUAACCUUUCGAAUAUACACAAUCUCACUUUACUCCCGCUCUCUCUCUCUCAUGCCCUUUACAGAUAUAGACGGUCGCUACAGUAUCACGUUGAUAGCGGCAAUUGAGAAUUUCUCAGGAAAAUAAAGUGCUGCAUCGGAAGUGUCUGUACCUUUUCAGAAAGUAGAAUUCUGCUCCGGCAUAGAAUGUCUGGUAUUGUUUUCCUGACAACAAUACACGCCGCUGACUGAUGUGCUGCUGGGAUGUUUUUAUGCUGUGUUUUAUGGUAGGGUAGCUGGUUGUGUUUCCUUUCUACUAAAUGUCUUGAUAAGUCACGGUAUCUAAACAUACUUUUUAAGGAGAAAGUGGCCUGCGCACAGCUAGCUCAAUAUUAUUUGAUAGUUCUGGUCUCCUACUGUACGUUAGUCCUGCUUCAGAAGCGGCAUUCCUUUACAGACAAGUAAAAUGCCUUUGAAUCUAUCUCCAGAGAUGCUUUCAUGUUGGCAUUUAAAUACCAUAGCGUACCCUUACAGACAAACAAACGGUUGCCAAGGCGUUGCCAAGGCGUUUUCAAGGCGGCACAGUCCAUAUGUCUGAAAAUAGUAUUUCUCUCUCUCUCUUUCAGAUCUCUCUAUCUUUGCAUCUGGGAUAAGGGGUUUAGCUAAGAUCCUGAUGCCCCUAGUAGCCAGUCGAGGUGAUUGGAAAGAUAAUUCAAUUUAGUGACAAGAAUCGACAACUAAAAAAAAAGUCGUCCUACGAAGACGGGGGAUGCUUUUCUAUACUUUUUUUGUACUGUCUGUACUUUUUUAAUACUGAUUGAAGUGUUAUGUCAUUCAUGCAUCUUUAAUAAA